rnacentral:rRNA from 1 species
GACGAACGCUGGCGGCGUGCUUAACACAUGCAAGUCGAACGGAAAGGCCCUGCUUUUGUGGGGUGCUCGAGUGGCGGACGGGUGAGUAACACGUGAGUAACCUGCCCUUGACUUUGGGAUAACUUCAGGAAACUGGGGCUAAUACCGGAUAGGAGCUCCUGCUGCAUGGUGGGGGUUGGAAAGUUUCGGCGGUUGGGGAUGGACUCGCGGCUUAUCAGCUUGUUGGUGGGGUAGUGGCUUACCAAGGCUUUGACGGGUAGCCGGCCUGAGAGGGUGACCGGCCACAUUGGGACUGAGAUACGGCCCAGACUCCUACGGGAGGCAGCAGUGGGGAAUAUUGCACAAUGGGCGGAAGCCUGAUGCAGCAACGCCGCGUGCGGGAGGACGGCCUUCGGGUUGUAAACCGCUUUCGCCUGUGACGAAGCGUGAGUGACGGUAAUGGGUAAAGAAGCACCGGCUAACUACGU